AGAGAGAAAAGGCCAGAGAUAUCAGUCGAUGAGCAUCUCCGACACGGCAACAACUGCUGUGCCCUAUCUGUCACCAUCUGCCUUCUUCAUCGUAUUGCCACUUCGCAUCCAUGGUUAAUAAGGCGUCGUAUGCUGUUUGGUGUUGUAUCGUUGAUGGCUGGGUCGACCACUGGUGUACUGAUGUCUCCUGGGUAUGGCGGAUCGGACCAAACCGCAACGCCGCCACCUUACUACCCAAGAGCAACUAACGUAACGACCAGUUACUGCACCGAGAUCUCCAAGUACUACACCACUAAGGCAUCGGAGUUUUAUACCACAACUUACGCUGCCCCGCGCCACUUCACUGACGCCCUGAAGUACUACUCUGCCCCGAGUUACUACACCACCAAGGCGACGGAGCAUGACUACGCAUGCUGCCCCAUCCUACUACACCGAUGCUAAGUGUUACACCGAGGCUUCCGCUGAUUACUCCACCAAAACGGUCGAAUACUACACCGAAGUGGUACUACUCUGCCCCGAUCUACACAACCAUAACUGAGGCGGCCAAGUGUUACGCAGUCCAGACUUAUACUACACAGAAGCUACUCUUUCGUGCUACGUUGAACAGAAAUACUACACUGAUGCUCCAGUUCACUACACCACGACCUACGCUACACCGCAGCCCUCAAGUACUACAUCGAAGAAGCCGCCUAUUACAAAACAAAGUAUGCUCCCUAGUUUACUACACCGAGGCUCCCAAGUACUACAUCACUAAGGCACCGGAAUUCUACACGUCUAUGUAUCCUCCCCCUGCCUACUACACCGAGGCGCCGCAUUAAUACAACACCGAAGCGCUCAAGUACUACACUACAACCUACGCUGCCCCGAGCUACUACACCUACGUCCUGAAGUAUUACUGUGCGUAAAAGGAGUCGUCUAGAAGGUCGUGUCCGAACUGCAGUGCCCCAUCUGUCACCAACUGCAUUCCUCAUCGUGUAACCAAUUCGCAAUCAUGGUCAACUAUGGCGUCGUGCUCCUGUUGUAUCGUUGAUGGCUGGGUCAACCGCUGGUGUAGCGAUGUCUCCUUGGUGUGGCGGAAACCAAACUGCAACGCCGCCACCUUCCUACACAACUUACGCAACGACCAGUUUCUGCACCAAGGUCUUCAAGUGCUACACCACUAAAGCACCGGAGUUUUAUACCACAACUUACCCUGUCCCGAUUUACUACACUGACGCCCUGAAGGACGGAGCAGAACUACGCAUGCUACCCCAUUCUACUACACCAAGGCUCCCAGCUGCUACACCGAGGCUCCCGCUGAUUACUCCACCAAAACGGUCGAAUACUACACCGAAGCGGUAAAGUACUUCUCGCCCCGAUCUACAAAACCACAACUGAGGCGGCCAAGGAUGACGCAGUUCCGACUUCACCGAAGCUUCUCUUUCGUGCUACGUUGAACUGAAAUACUACACUGAUGCUCCAGUCUACUACACCACGACCUACGCUACACGCAGCUACAACACGGCAGCCCCAAGUACCACACCGAAGAAGCCGCCUAUUACACAACUACGUACGCUGCCUAGUUUACUACAUCGAGGAAUUUAAAUAUUACUCUGCUCCAAACUACUACCAAACUGAGGUUCAUAUUUAUUGCAAUUCUCCCGAUUAUGUCACCACUACUCACGCUGCUCCGACCUUUACACCGAAUUUAUGAAGUAUUUCUCUGGAUGUGUUGAAAGAUUGCUGGAAUACAAAAUUGAUUGAUAAAUCACAAGUGCAUGUCUCUAUUUUCUCAAGUACCUUUCCUGCUGCUGAUAAUUGCAUGAUGUGAGAAAAUAUUUCUGAGUGCUAUGUAAACUUACAAAUAAUUGAUCUUGCAAAAUACAACAAUAAAAAUCCAAACUCA